rnacentral:misc_RNA from 1 species
AACGCACAUUGCACCCCUUGGUAUUCCGAGGGGUAUGCCUGUUCGAGCGUCAUUACACCACUCAAGCACAGCUUGGUAUUGGGCAACCGCCCCCGCCAGUCGGGGACGCGCCUCAAACACCUCGGCGGAGCCUCACCGGCUUUGGGCGUAGUAGAAUUUCUAAUAACGUCCUUUAACGGAGAUGGUUCCUUUGCCGACAGAAUCUUUAUAUUUUUCUAGGUUGACCUCGGAUCAGGUAGGGAUACCCGCUGAACUUAA